CAAGCUCCCAAAGGAAAACACCCAUGUGGUUUUUGCCUGCUUGAGGUUUUCUACUGGGGCCUCCUUACGUGCAAGAUAAUUAAGUGCCAAUGCGACAGAGGAACAAUUUAAAGGGUAACGGAGAUACUUAAGUCUAGGUAUAUUCAAAAUAAACAUCCUAGCCAGGUCAACUUCUGGGUCCUCUCUGCAUGCCCCAGACACA
rnacentral:lncRNA from 1 species